rnacentral:rRNA from 1 species
AAUUUGUGACAAUGUGGGAAACCCUGAUCCAGCCAUCCCGCGUGUAUGAUGACGGAAUUCGGGUUGUAAAGUACUUUUGGCAGAGAAAAAAAGGUAUCCCCUAAUACGGGCAAAUGCUCACGGUCUCUGCAGAAUAAGCACCGGCUAACGACGUGCCAGCCGCCGCGGUAAUACGUAGGGUGCAAGCGUUAAUCGGAAUUACUGGGCGUAAAGCGUGUGUAGGCGGUUCGGAAAGAAAGAUGUGAAAUCCCAGGGCUCAACCUUGGAACUGCAUUUUUAACUGCCGAGCUAGAGUAUGUCAGAGGGGGGUAGAAUUCCACGUGUAGCAGUGAAAUGCGUAGAUAUGUGGAGGAAUACCGAUGGCGAAGGCAGCCCCCUGGGAUAAUACUGACGCUCAGACACGAAAGCGUGGGGAGCAAACAGG